rnacentral:rRNA from 1 species
GACGAACGCUGGCGGCGUGCUUAACACAUGCAAGUCGAACGGUGAAGGGACUGGUUUUGCUGGUCCUGGAUGAGUGGCGAACGGGUGAGUAACACGUGAGUAACCUGCCCCCUUCUUCUGGAUAACCGCAUGAAAGUGUGGCUAAUACGGGAUAUUCUGGGUCUGUCGCAUGGUGGGCCUGGGAAAGAUUGCGCCCUUUUUGGUGUUUUUGGUGGGGGACGGGCUCGCGGCCUAUCAGCUUGUUGGUGGGGUGAUGGCCUACCAAGGCGGUGACGGGUAGCCGGCCUGAGAGGGUGGACGGUCACACUGGGACUGAGACACGGCCCAGACUCCUACGGGAGGCAGCAGUGGGGAAUAUUGCACAAUGGGCGCAAGCCUGAUGCAGCGACGCCGCGUGAGGGAUGGAGGCCUUCGGGUUGUGAACCUCUUUCGCCAGUGAAGCAGGCCUGCCUCGUUUGUGGGUGGGU